ACGAAACGGAGGCGCGGGAGGAAUAGAAGGGAGCGCGGCGCCAUUCACUCGUCCCCGAGUCGGAUUUGGUCGUCCCUGCCGCCGGUCCUCGUCGCCGGGCGACCUCCGUUCUGCCGGUCCUGCUCCUCCUCUGCUCCUCAUCUUCUCCUCCCCUGCUCCUCCAAUCUCUCCCCCUGCUCAUCCCCGAGGCCCCCCCGCUGGUCCUGCUCCUCCUCCCGCCGGUCCUGCUCCUCCCCUGCUCCUCCAAGUUCGUCCCCUGCUCUUCCCCGACGUGCCGCCGCUGCCCUGCUCGUCCUCGACUGGAACACCUCCCCGCCGGCCACCCCAAGUCCCCAAGGUGAGCUCCCUUCCCUCCCAG
rnacentral:lncRNA from 1 species